GGCUGUUGGGAGGUUGGGCCUCGGGCCUUGGACCAGAAGGAGCUUCUUCAGGCUCUGAGACUGUCAGGAGGCCCUGGGGGAUCCCGUUGAAGCUGCGAUUUGGCGCAGAGCUGAGAUGUCUGAGCUCUAGACGCAGGGACCUCGGUGUCAAAAGAUUUGCGAAGAUGAAUUGGGUCGGGGGGUCCCGGUCCAGGGUUCUGAUCAAGCAGGAAAGGAGAAAGCAAAAGGAAUAUUUUGAAAAACACAGGUUAAAAUCAAAAAUGAAAUCACUCGGAGUUUUAUCUCCUGUCAAAAAUUCUGCUGUCAGCUUAGACAUUCUUAACCUAUAUAUGGUAAAUCAGAUAUCUUGCAAGAAGAAAAUCCCUGAAACUGUGAGGAAACCAACCCAUGUGAACAUGAAUAGAGGCAUAAAAAUGCCCCUAAGAAAGCAUAAUUUAGAACUCCCAAUAUCGCCUCACUGUGUACCUUCUAAACUCUGCCUUGAUGAUACAGAAACCAACAUAAACUAUCAAAGACUAAGUAGCAAGGAAGAUCUUGGCCCAGUCCAGUCACAAGGCAUGGACUCAUAUAGUACGCUUGACCCUCAGUUCAGCAAAAUAGAGAACUGCAGUUUCACUCCAACAUCUUUUUCAGUGGAGUUAGCUUCUAACAGACAUAUUUCAAAACUAAAUUUCACACCCGGAAUAGCACCUACUCCUCAGAAACUUGCAUAUGAAAAAAAGCAGAAUGACCAGCUCAGUAAUGUUAACUGUUCUGAUUCCUUGCUUUCCAAGUUAAAUAAAAGUCAAGAUGUUCUCAGUCCAUCACAUAAAACUACACAAUUUGGGACAUUAUUUGAAAGAUUAAACAGAAGUCUAGGAAAUAGGAAUUUACUUACUAAAUGCCCUACUGUAAUUAUGGAUGAAGAUUGUAGAAGCAUGGAUGAAAUAGGACAGUCAGACUACAUUACUGAAAAACACUCCAUACAGCAUAUUUGGAGGAAAAAUGGAAAGAAAGUUUCAAAUUUUCUUGAAGAUGUGAACCAGUCUACUCCUAACUUUCUAUCAGAGAAUUCUGACUCUUUUGUUAGUCAAAAUAUGAUCAAUGUAUUAAACAUAGAUCAGCAAAAGAUAAAGAAAACAUUUAACAAGUGUGAUUAUGAUAGUAUGGGAGAUAUUUGUGUAGCCACUCAUUCUGAUAAAAACCGUGUCACUGACAGAUGCAUUAGAAACAUUUUUACAGUUCCAGAGUUGACUUUUAGUAAUUCAACUUUGAAUAAAACAAGUUAUCCAGAAAAAUGUCAGCCAAACAAGAAGAAUCAGAGAGAGUACAAUAAAAAUGAAAGAAAUGAUCUUAGUACAUCUUUUGAGAAUGAUUACUACCCAAGCAGCUCUGAAAGAAAAGGAAAACUUGAAAAUGAUUACCAAGAGAGGACACCACAGAAAAGUAUUCAGAAAUAUCCAGCAAACUCUAUGGGAAAUAUACCUUCAGAAGAAUUGCACUAUAAGCAGUCAUGGGACUUUGGACUUGAUGAGAUUCUGAUGGAAGAAGGAGGAAUAUGCUCUUUAAAAAGCAGGCCAACAUCUACUGAGAAAAUCUCUCUUGAUUCUGCACAGAGUAGUUGGUCUACCAGUUACUCUCCAAGACCAACCGACAGCUGUUUCAGUUCUAGUUCAGAUGUGGACACAUGCUGUGGGUGUCCUGAGCUGCCAUUUAAGAAGUCUGGCUACUCUAAAGCCUCCAGGCUGGAGAGACCAUGUGGAGAGACCCCCACAGAGAUUGAGAGUAAGAUGCUUGAGAAGCCCCAGCUUUCCCAGCCCCAGCCUUUUGGGUCUUCUCAGCCUGAGCACUAGAUGUGCAGCCCCAGCCCAUGGUCUGAAAAACUGUUCCAAAGGAGGACACAGAGGGGAAGAUUUUUGGUGUAGUCACUGCAAAGAAGAGUUUUGUAUGACUUUCUAGUGUCAUCUUGGGCAAAUGACAAAAAUGUUUUGAACUUAAGUUUUAGUUCCUGGAAAAGGAUGACAAUGUUUAUUCCACAGAAUUGGACAAUUAAAUGAGGAUUUUUUCUGCCCUCUGUUACUGACAUAUUCUGCACUAUUCAGGUGUCCGUUAUUCAGGUGCAAAGAAAACAAGAUAUAAAAUAAGGCCCAGAAGUGCAGUCCAGGAAUAUGGAGUAGGGCAGAAAUUGUAAGCCCAAAAUAUGUCUUCUGUUUUGAACUUGGUUUCAUUUUCACACCUGAAAAAUAAUGCAAUGUGCCUGAGAAUGAAUGCAAGCUGAUUUAUCGCUGUGGGCUAUCGUGAUGCAAACAAUGACAUACUUUGUUUAUUGGAUUCUUUUCAAUCAAUUUUACAGCUGCUUUCCAUCAAGUGUGAGUUCUGUGGCUUCUUUAUGAAGUUCUGAAGCACCUUACUGAUUAUCAGCAAUGAAACAAAACUGUAAAACUGAGAAGAUCUAUCUCAAUCCUUCCAAAUGAAAGAUGAGUUUUCUACCAUUUGGCAGCAUGAAAACGGACUCAUACAGUUAAUUGGUACAAGUAGAGUGGGGCGUCGCUGAAAAGAUAACCGAAAAUGUGAACUUGACUUUGGAACUGGGUAACAGACAAAGGUUGGAACCGUUUGGAGGGAUCAAAAGAAGAAAGGAAAACGUGGGAAAGUUUGGAACCUCCUAAAGACAUGUUGAAUGGCUUUGACAAAAAU